AGCAGCCGCGGUAAUUCCAGCUCCAAUAGCGUAUAUUAAAGUUGUUGCAGUUAAAAAGCUCGUAGUUGAAUUUCGGGAUUGACGUGAUGGUCAUGCCUUAAGGGGUAUGAACUGUUACAGUUGAUUUCUCACCUUCUGGAGAAACUUGAUGUCCUUUAUUGGGUGUCUUGCGGAUCCAGGACCUUUACCUUGAAAAAAAUUAGAGUGUUUAAAGCAGGCAUUUUUUGCUCGAAUACAUUAGCAUGGAAUAAUAGAAUAGGACGGCAUGGUUCUAUUUUUGUUGGUUUCUAGGAUCACCGUAAUGAUUAAUAGGGAUAGUUGGGGGCAUUAGUAUUCAAUUGUCAGAGGUGAAAUUCUUGGAUUUAUUGAAGACUAACUACUGCGAAAGCAUUUGCCAAGGAUGUUUUCAUUAAUCAAGAACGAAAGUUAGGGGAUCGAAGACGAUCAGAUACCGUCGUAGUCUUAACCAUAAACUAUGCCGACUAGGAAUCAGACGAUGUUAAUUUUUUAAUGUACUCGU
rnacentral:rRNA from 1 species